rnacentral:tRNA from 3 species
GGGCGCUUAGCUCAGCCGGUUAGAGUGCCACGCUCACAUCGUGGAGGUCAGUGGUUCGAGUCCACUAGCGCCCA